rnacentral:rRNA from 1 species
UACAGAGGUCUCAAGCGUUGUUCGGAUUCAUUGGGCGUAAAGGGUGCGUAGGUGGUGAUGCAAGUCUGGUGUGAAAUCUCGGAGCUCAACUCCGAAAUUGCACCGGAUACUGCGUGACUCGAGGACUGUAGAGGAGAUCGGAAUUCACGGUGUAGCAGUGAAAUGCGUAGAUAUCGUGAGGAAGACCAGUUGCGAAGGCGGAUCUCUGGGCAGUUCCUGACACUGAGGCACGAAGGCCAGGGGAGCAAAACGGG